rnacentral:misc_RNA from 1 species
UACGUAGGUGGCAAGCGUUGUCCGGAACUACUGGGCGUAAAGCGCGCGCAGGCGGCCUCUUAAGUCUGAUGUGAAAGCCCCCGGCUCAACCGGGGAGGGCCAUUGGAAACUGGGAGGCUUGAGUAUAGGAGAGAAGAGUGGAAUUCCACGUGGAGCGGUGAAAUGCGUAAAGAUGUGGAGAAGCACCAGUGGCGAAGGCGACUCUUUGGCCUAUAACUGACGCGGAGGCGCGAGAGCGUGGGGAGCAAACAGG